AUUAUAAUAAGCUAAAAUUAUAAGCUAAUGAGUUCAUACCUCAUUUAUUU
rnacentral:tRNA from 1 species